CUAGUAACUGCGAGUGAAGCGGGAAAAGCUCAAAUUUAAAAUCUGAUAGUCUUUGGCUGUCCGAGUUGUAAUCUAGAGAAGUGUUAUCCGCGUUGGACCGUGUACAAGUCUCCUGGAAUGGAGCGUCAUAGAGGGUGAGAAUCCCGUCUUUGACACGGRCUGCCAGGGCUGUGUGAUGCGCUCUCAAAGAGUCGAGUUGUUUGGGAAUGCAGCUCUAAAUGGGUGGUAAAUUCCAUCUAAAGCUAAAUAUUGGCGAGAGACCGAUAGCGAACAAGUACCGUGAGGGAAAGAUGAAAAGAACUUUGGACAGAGAGUUAGACAGUACGUGAAAUUGCUGAAAGGGAAACGCUUGAAGUCAGUCACGUUGGCCGGGGAUCAACCUUGCUUUUGCUGGGCGUACUUUCCGGUUAACGGGUCAGCAUCAAUUUUGACCGUUGGAUAAAGGCUUUGGGAAUGUGGCAUCUUCGGAUGUGUUAUAGCCCUUGGUAGUAUACAACGGUUGGGAUUGAGGAACUCAGCACGCCGCAAGGUCGGGUUUUUAACCACGUUCGUGCUUAGGAUGCUGGCAUAAUGGCUUUAAUCGACCCGUCUUGAAACACGGACCAAGGAGUCUAACAUGCCUGCGAGUGUUUGGGUGGAAAACCCGAGCGCGUAAUGAAAGUGAAAGUUG
rnacentral:rRNA from 1 species